rnacentral:misc_RNA from 1 species
UCCGAGUUGACCCCGGCAGUCUCCCAUGAGUCCCCACCCGAAGUGCUGGCAACAUGGAACGAGGGUUGCGCUCGUUGCGGGACUUAACCCAACAUCUCACGACACGAGCUGACGACAACCAUGCACCACCUGUACACCGCCCCGAAGGACCCCGUAUCUCUACGAGUUUUCGGUGUAUGUCAAGCCUUGGUAAGGUUCUUCGCGUUGCAUCGAAUUAAGCCGCAUGCUCCGCCGCUUGUGCGGGCCCCCGUCAAUUCCUUUGAGUUUUAGCCUUGCGGCCGUACUCCCCAGGCGGGGCGCUUAAUGCGUUAGCUGCGGCACGGAGACCGUGGAUAGGUCCCCACACCUAGCGCCCAACGUUUACGGCGUGGACUAC